UCUAAUCCAUGUGAGGUAGAUGUUGCUGAUGUCUUGAAGGUGAUAGGUAAUAACAUUUUAGAACGGGACGCUAUUUUAGUGCUGAAUAACAUGUCAAAUUCCCAAACUGCGUUGCUUGCUCUUCGCUACUUCCAGGAUAUGCUGAAAUCAAGUAAACAGACAAUUUUUUAUAACGUGACACUGAAGGUGUUUAGGAAGUGCAGAGAUAUGGAGGGUGCAGAGAAACUGUUCGAAGAAAUGAUUAACAGAGGAGUUAAGCCUGAUAAUGUGACAUUUUCUACAAUUAUUAGUUGUGCUAGGUUGUGUUCUUUACCAAGUAAGGCUGUUGAGUGGUUUGAGAAGAUGCCAAGUUUUGACUGUAAUCCUGAUGAUGUUACUUACUCUACGAUGAUUGAUGCCUAUGGACGUGCUGGUAAUGUUGACAUGGCUUUCAGUUUGUAUGACCGUGCAAGAACGGAAAACUGGCGAAUUGAUCCUGCGACAUUCUCGACAAUGAUCAAAAUUCAUGGAGUGGCUGGGAACUAUGAUGGGUGCUUGAAUGUUUAUGAAGAAAUGAAGGCUAUAGGCAUCAAGCCAAACUUGGUUAUAUAUAACUGCUUGUUGGAUGCUAUGGGUAGGGCUAAAAGACCUUGGCAGAUCAAAACCAUUUACAAAGAGAUGAUUAAAAAUGGAUUUUCACCAAGUUGGGCAACUUAUGCUUCUCUUUUACGUGCCUAUGGAAGAGCCAGGUAUGGUGAGGAUGCUCUCAUUGUUUACAAGGAGAUGAAGGAAAAGGGACUGCAGUUAAACGUAAUUCUCUACAAUACGCUUUUAGCUAUGUGUGCUGAUGUUGGCUAUGUUAAUGAGGCUGUUGAAAUUUUUCAAGAUAUGAAGAGUUCUGGCACUUGCUCACCUGACAGUUGGACAUUUUCUUCCAUGAUCACCAUAUAUUCCUGCGGUGGAAAAGUAUCAGAGGCUGAAGAAAUGUUGAACGAUAUGGUGGAAGCUGGUUUUGACCCUAAUAUCUUUGUCUUAACAUC
rnacentral:lncRNA from 1 species